AUUGCACGCUGGCGGCAGGCCUAACACAUGCAAGUCGAACGAGUGGCGGACGGGUGAGUAAUGUCUGGGAAACUGCCUGAUGGAGGGGGAUAACUACUGGAAACGGUAGCUAAUACCGCAUACCAUAAGAUGUGACCAGAUGGGAUUAGCUUGUGGGUGGGGUAACGGCUAACUAGGGCGACGAUCCCUAGAUGGUCUGAGAGGAUGACCGGCCACACUGGAAGCUAGACCCGGUCCAGACUCCUACGGGGUGUAGCAGUGGGUAAUAUUGCACAAUGGGCGCAAGCCUGAGGCAGCCAUGCCGCGUGUAUGAAGAAGGCCUUCGGUUUGUAAAGUACUUUCAGCGGGGAGGCGUUACCCGCAGAAGAAGCACCGGCUAACUCCGUGCCAGCAGCCGAGGUAAUA
rnacentral:rRNA from 1 species